rnacentral:lncRNA from 1 species
GCCGAAGGAAGAGAAGAAAGUGACGGGAGCCCGCUGCUGUGCUGCAGCUGCCGUCCACCACUCCAUGGAAGGCUGAUCUCCUCUCUAGGGCUGGAUGCAGCCCUAAUAAAGGGACACGGGUUUUAUAUUUUAUUUUAUAUUCUUGGAGUUGUAUGAACUUAUUAUUUUUAAUGAAUAUCUUCUUUUAUUUAAUUUUUAAUUUCUGUGAUUUUAAAUGUGAAGUUUAUACAACUGUUCUUCAUGAUCAUUAAGUAAAUAUAAGAUAGUCCAUGCUUAGGGAAGAUGCGAUGUGCUGCCACCUUAGAUUAGGGUAGACAUUUCAUGCCAACUGAAGAUGGAUUAUGCCUAAAUUAUUUUUAUGAAUUUCUAUUCGAAUGGUUAAUGGCUUGUAGCCAAUUUGCAUGUUAAUCCAAGAACGAAAUAAAUUAUAAAUAACCCUUGUUCCGAUGUUAGUGGUGAAUUCCUUGCCCUAGGUUUCCCCCAAACUGAUAUCAUUUUAAUUGCAUUUCUCUUAAAUUAUUUAGUUCAAUAGUCUUCCUAAACUUUCUUUUUAAAUAUUUUUUUUAAGAAAACAACUGUACCCCAAUCCCUGUGGAUCGAUACCCGUAAUCACUAUCCUACUAGAUACGUGCUAUUGCGUGGUCUUUAAAGUUGACUAUCAAUUUUUGGCGCCAUUGCCGGAAAUUGUUAGCAUAGUUGUUUUUCUUUUCAUUUAAAAAAAACUUUCAAAAAAUAAUAAUAAUAAUAUAUAUAUAUCUAAAAUAAAAUAAAAAUAUUUUCUAUUUUUGUUACUUUUCUUAUCUCCUUUCUCUCUCUUACUAAUUUUUGAUUUUUUUUAUCAGGAAUCGAAAAAGAAAUUUGGGACGAUCAAAAGGGAACUGCUGAAAAAGGAAUGCUGUAGAGGUUUGCCUAAAAAAAAAUAAAUAUAAAAAAAUUGCUAGGAAAAUUCUCUUUGGUAACCUCUAAACCUUUCUUAUUUAAAUUAAUUCUCAAUUACCUUGAAAUUUUGUGGUGAUUGUUUGAUUUUAAUUUCAGCAAAAGUGUGAAUGCAUGCUUGAUACACAUACACCAAUUAAUCCGCACAUAGUAAGGGCAAUCACCCCAACAAGAUAAGAACUGAAUUUCAUCACCAGAUUCUUGCCCAAAUUAGGUGAAUCAAUUCUCACAUAGCCAUCACGUUAAUUAAAAUCAAUUAGACGUUGGCAUCUAGGGAUAUUCAAGCUCAAUAGGACGAAGAUCACCAAAAGUUGCACCAAUUUUGCUCUGUGACUCAGUUGAUAUCUAGGCAAGCUUUGUCCCUUUAAGGGAGAUAGUUCAUCUGUUCGAGGCAAGUGGUUUUUAAGUAGAACCUUUGCGAACGCAUCGUGACCCCCCCACUUAUCUGGGAGCUUACCUGGUCAACUAAGUUCAUUAGACCGGAUUGGAGGCUUAGGUGCCCUCUUCAAACCAGUUAGGAGCUGUCUAGUGAUUUUAGGGCAAAUACAAGGAUUUGAUGUGUUUUUCUUUUAGUGCAUGCUUGACUGUACGUGACUGAUCCGAAAAGUAUUGGUGCAUGCUAGGGUGUCGUUCCAGAUCUCCUGAACUAUUACCUUUUGACCCUAAAAUAGAACAGACCCUUAGAAAUAUUCGAGCUGACAUCAGAACAUUAGAAUCAACUAUACCCGGUAUGAUUUGAUAAGGAUGCGCGGCGUCUGGCUGAAGACGUUAAACUUAGCGCUUGUUGGAAGGUAACCCAAUUUUCGUAGGUCAUUUUUGCAUUUUUUUUUGCAUUUUUUUAUUGCAUUAACAGGAUCCCUCAUAUUACUGAUGCAAUUACGGUAAAAUGCUUCUAUCCUCCAUAUGCAUCAUAUUUUCGUCCAAACUAAAAUAAAAAAAUAAAAAAUAUAAAAAAUAUAUAAUAAUAUAAUAUUCAUCUCAAAAAAAAAUAUUGAGGACAAUGUCUGAUCUAGGUUGGGGGGUAUAAGAUUCGAAUUUUAUAAGAAAUUUUUUGCAUUUUCGCAUUAUUGAAUAAGUUUUUCGGAAAAAAAAUGCAUUUUCGCAUUAUUGAAUAAGUUUUUCGAAAAAAAAAACGAACCUAAUUUCUAUGCCUUAGUGCUGAAAUGAUAAAUGUACAAAGUAUAUAAAAUCUAAAAAGCCCAAUGACUAGUCAGAAGUAAGACAAUUUGAGUUCUUUUUAUUAAAAGUUCUUUUAGCGAGUUGUAAGAUAAUUUUUACUUUGGAAUUUCACAACACACAUGGCCUGCACUUCUAAGGGUUAGGUUCAACAUUAUGUUGUUAAGUCUGGUAGCAACUUUGAGUCCUGAUGAAUCAUACCUAUCUAAUUCACUAUUAUCUUCUGAAAUAAAUAAAUAAAUAAAUAAAAAGAGAAAAAAAAAGAGUGAAUUUAGUCAGGUACAUCGAAAAGGGCUACCUAUUGUCAAAGGUCAGCGGACUUGUGAUGAUGAACCCGAGCAUAGGUCCAUAGGGGAGUCUUGAUGCCCAACACCUUAUGCCAUCUGGUGUGGAAGUUGUUGACUGAAUGCUCGCUACACGGAGGAAUCAUUACAAGAGUAAAAGUGCAUAAUUUAUAAAUCUCAAAAAAAAACAGAGAAAGAGAAAAUAAUAUUGACCUUGAAAAAAGACGAUAGUGUGAAAGCCGUCGUUGUAAAAAUUCGAGUAAACUGAAAUAUUACAGAUAAAGCCCAUGAGGUAUUAAAGUAAACAUCCACAACUCUCGAAAUCCUGCAAGAUAGGAUGAUUUUGAAUCAGUGAAUAGGUCUUAUCUGACCAAUUCUUGGAAACUACUAGCUUUAGCAGUAUUUUGGGGAGUCCAAAACCUUAGUUUGUGUAUGGUCUAGAUAUCACCAAGCACCCAAGUAUAAAUACGCCUUACAACUCCCUAACGAAAACUUAAUAACUUCAACUUAAAUUGCAUACUGACCUAGGAUUUGGGCUGACUUAGUAAUUAAAACUUUGUGUGCUUUUGAAAUUCUUGGCACUUAUACAUUUAAAAUUAGUUUUUAUAAAACGAUAAAAAAAAAUUCUUUUGGGUAGAGACAGCAGUUUGUGGGUAUCUGAGCCGGAAACCCUCACGAGACAAAACUCGUCCACUAGGGCCACCUAGGGGUUUAAAGCCUUAUUGCAUACGGUAAAUGCAAUCGCGAUUCCUGCGAAAGUGAAUUAGUUUUUUUUUAUUAUUUUGCUCGAGGACUAGCAAAAUGUAGGUUGGGGGGUGUGAUAAGUGCUAAAUAAUGCAUAAAUUAAUAUCUUAUUCAUAGCACUUAUCAUUAUUUUAAUUCACAUAUUUUGUAAAUUCAACUAAAAAAAUGUGUUACCUUCAUCACUGCAUUUUAAUAAAUUAUUAAAGAUAAUUGGAGUUUUACUUAUUUAUUUACUGAUUAAGCUUAAUAUAUGCAGAUCGAGUCAAGCUUAAUUCGGUAAAGCCUAAACUGAC